AUUGAACGCUGGCGGCAGGCCUAACACAUGCAAGUCGAGCGGAUGAAGGGAGCUUGCUCCUGGAUUCAGCGGCGGACGGGUGAGUAAUGCCUAGGAAUCUGCCUGGUAGUGGGGGAUAACGUCCGGAAACGGGCGCUAAUACCGCAUACGUCCUGAGGGAGAAAGUGGGGGAUCUUCGGACCUCACGCUAUCAGAUGAGCCUAGGUCGGAUUAGCUAGUUGGUGGGGUAAAGGCCUACCAAGGCGACGAUCCGUAACUGGUCUGAGAGGAUGAUCAGUCACACUGGAACUGAGACACGGUCCAGACUCCUACGGGAGGCAGCAGUGGGUAAUAUUGGACAAUGGGCGAAAGCCUGAUCCAGCCAUGCCGCAUGUGUGAAGAAGGUAUUCGGAUUGUAAGGCACUUUAAGUAGGGAGGAAGGGCAGUAAGUUAAUACCUUGCUGUUUUGACGUUACCAACAGAAUAAGCACAGGCUGAGUUGGUG
rnacentral:rRNA from 1 species